ACGAGAUCUGACGGGUUUAUCAGGGGUUUCCGCUUUUGCUUCUUCCUCAUUUUCUCUUGCUGCGGUCAGGUGAGGAGAGUUCUUCACCUCGCGCCAGGAUUCUGAGGCCUCCCCAGCCAUGUGGAACUCAAUAUCCGGAGAGAGAGAGAGAGAGAUUCCUAUAGAAUACAAGACAAGACUAUCACAAUGAGCUGAAAUGUUGGGUCUGUGAAAGUAAUGAGAAGCACAGUGGAAAUAAGUGUCUGAAGGAUGGAAGAGGCUGGAGGCUGGCUAGUGGGAGAAGGUUCCCAGACACAUGAGAGACCCAGCAACAGGUUGCAAUACGAAGUGGAGUUAAAGCAACUAGAGGGAGGUGUCAGUAACCAAGCUAAGAGAGGCUGGAAGGAAAACAAUUCAUGCAGCAGAAAAGAAAGCCUUUUGAGCAUCGUGAUGUCAGAAGGUGACUUGGAAGAUAAUCUAAAUGUUAAACUGGCAGUGAAGAGUGCCACAUCGUUGUUAUUUCCCCAAGAUCCUGGAUUCCAGACAGCCCAGUGGAGCACCAUAGAAAGAACUUUCAGGAAGCAGAGAAUGGUUCAGGGAUUCUGAUUUUCCUGAACUUCCUCCUCCCUAUCCACCUCCAAUUAGGAAAAAAGAAGAAAAAAAAAUAUUAAACACUUCCAGAAUGUUAAAAAUCCAGUAGGGCUUUUAAAUGUUCUCUAUUACAGCACAUACAUUUAUACACAAGGAGGUCUGAAGGCUUUCUGAUUUCAAUUAAGAUUAUUAUCUCCUUUGAGUGAUGGUUUCUCCUUUUUUCCCCCAGAAUUCCCUUUGGCUGAUCUAUUUUAAAAGAGUAUUAGCUAGGGAUAACUAGGCUUGUUUGUAUUGAGUCUACUUUCCCCUCCAGGUCUCUUUGUCUUAAAUUCUGAAGUCCCUUUUCCUAUCCUGCGAAAGGUUAGCAGCUUGAAAUCAAGGACAUGAGUCAUUGUUACUUUUCAUGUGGAAGAUAAGCUCUGUGGCUUUUAUAGCAAAAAGUAUAUACAAUUCUAAAAAUAAAGUGCAAGUCAGAAAGGCCAUUGGGGCUGUGAAAAGUCCUUAUCUAAAUCAGAAGACCAAGGUCAAGUUUGUAUCAUGCCUAUUAGUACAUGGGUUUCAUUGGUGAAGUUACCAAACCUCUGAGCCUCAGUUUCCUUAUCAGUCAAAUGAGUGCAAUAAUUCCCGCCCUAUCAUCUGACAAAUUAUUGAGAAAUUCUAAUUACAUGCCUAUAAUUUUCAGGUCUUUGUUUAAGCAUCAUGCACAUAAACGUUUGUAUUACACUUUCUUUAGCAGUAUUUGAACAUGGUACCUUAUUCAAUGUUCUGAAACAAAUCAUGAAUACUUCCUGGUGUGGUGAUAAUAUCUUCAUAAACUUGUGACACCCGAUGGAAUGUGAGUCAGUUUUGUAAUAGCCUUUAAAAACUUCCCUCAAUACAUAAUAAAGAAUGGUAAAAAUUUUUGGUUGAGGAAACUAAUGAUACAUCCAAAAUAAUACACUGAGUUUUCCAGGGAAGAAUAUUCUCAAAGUAAAAUGGUGUUUAGACUUAAAGGUUCUUAAAACAAGUUAUACAAAGGGAUAGUAUUGAAAUCCAUCUUUUAAUAGAUAUAUACUAGUAAUUAUUUAUGAUGAAGACCCAGGAAAAUACUAUUAAUAGGUGUGAAAUUCAAAUCACACUAAUUAGUACUUUAAAAUAUCAUUCCUUCACAUUAUUUUAAAGAAGCUUUUCCUACAUGUGUGACCUAUUCUGUCAAACACAGCCAUGAAUAUCUAGUAUACUAAAUUGGUCCUAUUCUGACUCCAAUUUUCAAACACUUUUAACAUAGGACUAUAGUGUUCAUAUUUAGAAAGUGUGUGCAUGCCUAUGUGUAUCACUAAUAUGUAGUAUAUGCAUACUAAAUAUGCACAUGGGUAUUUCAAACUCUGUUGGCUUGACUCUAAAUGUUCAGCUAUCGAUGUUAUUCUUGGUAUUUAGAAGUUUUAUUUAUUUAUUUAUUUUUCUUGACUUUCCCACUGGGAGGUGUCUUCUGAUAUUUCAGCCUCUAGCAUCUCAGUCCCAUACAUUCAGCCCUCACUGGGAAGUUUAAUUCCAGGUUACUAAUUUCAGGGCAUCCCAAAAAUGCUGUUUAGCCAGGUAGUGCCUUAAUGUAUCUUAGAAUUAAAAGAAAAUACUUUCUGUCUCUCAGGGCAUUUGAAAGCUCAAACUCUCCUCUUUGAACUUCCCUCUCUCAUUAUAUUGCCAUCACAAAUCUUUGUCCAUCACUAGGUGGUACAACUCCCCCUCCCCUCACCUGCCUCACACACACAUGACCUACAGUGGAAAACUGAGCUCCAGAUGGUUCAUGGACUUGCCCAAAGUCGCCUGUACCAUUGCUGACUUGGAACUUGAAUGUCCAAGCCUUCUAAAUCUUCAUCUGCAUUUUUCACAUUAGAGAAUUUUGAUCUCUGACUUCUAACAGUUAUUUCAGGAGAGGAAAAUGCAUGGCUUCACUAUCCAAUGGACUAAAAAAUUGAGUAAGGGAUAGAACAUAUUUUACACUCCAACUUGAAAACUUGUCGUAAUGAUGCUCUUCCAGCAUGAAGAAAUUAAAAUUGGCCUUCCUGUUCGUUCUCCUGAAUUGUUCACUGCAACUGAGUGGAGAUAUUUUAGGAGGGUUCUUACUGUGGCUUCUGAAGACCUUUUCAGAAUAAGGUCUUUUUUUCAAAAAUACCACACAAAAUACAAUACAAAAAUACAAUACAAAAAUUUUCAAAAAUACAGUAUUAGUUUGAAGCUUGUAAGUUUUGCCUAUUGCCUAUACCUAUGUAACUGCUACCUAAAACAAGAUAUAGAAAUGUUCUAACUUCCCAGAGAGAUUCUUCAUGCCCCUUUCAUUCAGUGUCAUCCCAGACCCCACAAAGGCAAUUCCUUCUGAUGGUAUGUAUGUAUUCUUUAGUGUCUGGUAUUUUUUAGAUUUAUUUAUAUUGUCAUAUGUAUCAGUAGGCCAUUCAUUUUUGUUGUUGAUGAAUAUUUCAUUGUGUGAAUAUGCUGCAAUUUGUUGAUUCAAAUACCUCCUGAUAGUUGUUUUCCUUUUGGGGCUGUUAAGAAUAAGGCUUCCAUAAACUUUCUUGCCUAAGUC